rnacentral:rRNA from 1 species
UGGGAACGUACCCUUUGGUUCGGAACAACCCAGGGAAACUUGGGCUAAUACCGGAUAGGUCCGUAAGGAGAAAGAUUUAUCGCCAAAGGAUCGGCCCGCGUCUGAUUAGCUAGUUGGUAGGGUAAUGGCUACCAAGGCUACGAUCAGUAGCUGGUCUGAGAGGAUGAUCAGCCACAUUGGGACUGAGACACGGCCCAAACUCCUACGGGAGGCAG